AGGACGAACGCUGGCGGCGUGCCCACAUGCAAGUCGAACGGGGGUUAAGCCCUUCGGGACUUAACUUAGUGGCGAACGGGUGAGUAACGCGUGAGGAACCUGCCCUUCAGAUGGGGACAACAGCUGGAAACGGCUGCUAAUACCGAAUACGUUCUUUUUGUCGCAUGGCAGAGGGAAGAAAGGGAGGCUCUUCGGAGCUUUCGCUGAAGGAGGGGCUUGCGUCUGAUUAGCUAGUUGGAGGGGUAACGGCCCACCAAGGCGACGAUCAGUAGCCGGUCUGAGAGGAUGAACGGCCACAUUGGGACUGAGACACGGCCCAGACUCCUACGGGAGGCAGCAGUGGGGAAUCUUCCGCAAUGGACGAAAGUCUGACGGAGCAACGCCGCGUGAACGAUGACGGCCUUCGGGUUGUAAAGUUCUGUUAUACGGGACGAAUGGCGUAGCGGUCAAUACCCGUUACGAGUGACGGUACCGUAAGAGAAAGCCACGGCUAACUACGUG
rnacentral:rRNA from 1 species